UCAGAACGAACGCUGGCGGCAGGCCUAACACAUGCAAGUCGAGCGCACUCUUCGGAGUGAGCGGCGGACGGGUUAGUAACGCGUGGGAAUAUACCCUUCACUACGGAAUAGCCUCGGGAAACUGAGAGUAAUACCGUAUACGCCCUUCGGGGGAAAGAUUUAUCGGUGAAGGAUUAGCCCGCGUCUGAUUAGAUAGUUGGUGGGGUAAUGGCCUACCAAGUCUACGAUCAGUAGCUGGUUUGAGAGGAUGAUCAGCAACACUGGGACUGAGACACGGCCCAGACUCCUACGGGAGGCAGCAGUGGGGAAUCUUAGACAAUGGGCGCAAGCCUGAUCUAGCCAUGCCGCGUGAGUGACGAAGGCCUUAGGGUCGUAAAGCUCUUUCGCCAGAGAUGAUAAUGACAGUAUCUGGUAAAGAAACCCCGGCUAACUCCGUGCCAGCAGCCGCGGUAAUACGGAGGGGGUUAGCGUUGUUCGGAAUUACUGGGCGUAAAGCGUACGUAGGCGGAUUAGAAAGUAGGGGGUGAAAUCCCAGGGCUCAACCCUGGAACUGCCUCCUAAACUACUAGUCUAGAGUUCGAGAGAGGUGAGUGGAAUUCCAAGUGUAGAGGUGAAAUUCGUAGAUAUUUGGAGGAACACCAGUGGCGAAGGCGGCUCACUGGCUCGAUACUGACGCUGAGGUACGAAAGUGUGGGGAGCAAACAGGAUUAGAUACCCUGGUAGUCCACACCGUAAACGAUGAAUGCCAGACGUCGGGGGGCUUGCCCUUCGGUGUCACACCUAACGGAUUAAGCAUUCCGCC
rnacentral:rRNA from 1 species